CUGAAUGCCUUUAACUGCCAGUGAGGCUGCAACAGCAUGAAGACUCAGACCCAAGAAGCUUAAAUAGUUAAAGGGAUCAGAACUUCUUUAACUUGGCAUGUGAAUGGGGUUGUGGGCGGAUGAUUCAGGCAUUGAAAGGGUGCCGUGAGGAAAUGUUCACCAAUGGUUGGGAGACACUUUGCAACUCUGGGAGAAGGGCUUUGCAUACACACUCGCGCUUCUAGUGCUAUCAUUCUCGUGCCACUUCUAAGGAUGCAGGUUGGAAAAGAAGCAAUGCACAAGAGAGAGACCUUGCCAAAGGAUGGUGUUUCCAUUUGUGAACCCUGCAGCAAGAUGGGUGCUGUUGCUGCUAUCAAACAUCGAGAGAACUGAUUUAAAAAUAAAAAAGCC